GUAGUUAUAGUUUAACCAAAACAUUAGAUUGUGAAUCUAAUAAUAGAAGACUAUAACUUCUUAACUACC
rnacentral:tRNA from 3 species